UUGUGGGCGGGCGGGGGGCAGAGGGAGGCGCUCUCGCGAGGCGCGGGCGUUCUCGCGCGAUUUGGGAAGGGCGCUCUCGCGAGGCGCGGGCGUUCUCGCGAGAACUGGAGUUGGAGGCGGUGGCGGCGGCGCCGGGAUGGGAGCGCCGAGAUGCCCCGGCACUGCUCCGCCGCCGGCUGCUGCACCCGCGACACACGGGAGACCCGCAGCCGAGGGAUCUCCUUCCACAGGCUGCCCAAAAAGGACAACCCCCGUCGGGCGCUGUGGUUGGAGAACAGCCGGCGGCGGGACGCGAGCGGGGAGGGCCGCUGGGACCCGGCCUCCAAGUACAUCUACUUCUGCUCGCAGCACUUUGAGAAGAGCUGCUUCGAGAUCGUCGGCUUCAGCGGCUAUCACCGCCUGAAGGAAGGUGCUGUCCCCACCGUCUUUGAGUCCACCUCCCCCAGACCCCCCCGGACCACUAAGCCCAGACCCCCCCUGCCCGACACUGACAGCCCAAAGCCCCCCCGGGGGGUCACCAGGAAGUGGAGACGGGACCCCCCCACGGCCCCCCCGGACCCCCCCUUCUCCACCGAUGUCUCCUGCUUCCCCCGUGAAGGCGAAGACCCUGCUGGUGUCCCAGCACUUCCUGGUCCCUCGGGCGCCCGCGGUCCCCUCCCGGAUACCCUUUUGGUGGCCACAGAGGACGAAGAAACCAUCACCCUCCCUGAAGAGGACCCCCCUGGACCCCCCCGCCCCGUUUCUCCUUCCCUCUACAUGCUGCGGUUGCCGCCGCCGGCCGGCGCCUACAUCCAGAGCGAGCACAGCUACCAGGUGGGCAGUGCCCUGCUCUGGAAGCGCCGUGCCGAAGCUGCCCUGGACGCCUUGGAUAAAGCCCAGCGGCAGCUCCAAGCCUGCAAACGUCGUGAGCAGAGGCUGAGGCUGCGGGUGGGAGAGCUCCAACGGGAACGCCGGGCCCCCCCCGAGUGCCGAAGGGCCCCCAAGGAGCCGCAGCUGCUUGGCGGUGGACAGUGAGGGUGUAAAUAGAGGAAACACUUUUGCCUUUUUUUUUUUUUUUUUUUUAAUGAAAAAAAUCAAGGGGACGGCUCGCAUUUGGAGACAAGGAUUGAGGACGGCGUUCCCCCGUUGGAUUUGCUCGCCAGGAAACUGUUUUAGGGAGAAGUCGGCCGAAUUGGUCCCGGUGAUCUCCAGGGCAUCCUGUGGGGAUUUAUGGUGUCAGAAAUUGAGGAUUGAUGCCGUUACCUGCACGGGGUGGUGUCCACUGCCAUCGAAAACAUGGGAGCAUUGGAAAAAGCAUGGGACCCCAACUCUGUUAUCAGCACAGAGUGACAAUACGGAAGCGGUGACACCCUCGGCACAGGACCCCAGUGUGCAGGAGGACCCAGGUGACAACACUGGAAGUGGUGACACCAUCAGUGUGGGAUGACAGACACCAUCAUCAGAACUAGUGGACCCAGGAAGUGUCACUGGCAUACGGUGACCGGCGCUGUCUUGGGGGGACUCGGAUGUCAUUGGAAAAAGGGGGGACUGUGGUGGUCUCAAAGAUGUCCCCACACCAGGGUGGUCCUGAAGCUGUCAUCAGCACCACCACAGGAAGCCCCAAGACCACUGCUGGAAAGAGAGGCCCAAAUCCACUCCUGUGGCGUGCUGAGACUCACCUGGACCCGCACGAAGCGGGGUGCGGCGUAGACGGGCAGCGUGUCCCUGGUGAAGGCGUAGAGGCUCUCGCCAUCAAAGCUCUGCCCGGGUUUCAGGCGCACAGCCGCCAUGCCGCACUUCCCCUCGCACCCUGCCAACAGCACCGGGGGUGGUUUAGGGCAAACUGGGGCAACUUGAGUCUUCAUGAUGACAAGUGGCCCAAAGUGAUGCUCGGUGCCUGUUUUGGGUCACUUUGUCCCACUUUGGCCCCCUUUCUGAGCGUAUAAAGGAGACAUACUGUGUGUGUCCAAAAUAACAAAUAUUUACAUAUGGCAACUGAGUGCCUUUGAACCUAUUGGCCACUUGUGGCCAUUAUUGGGACGCAUCAGUUGCCCAGAAUACGUCAGAUGUUGAAUUUUAGCUAUCACAUCCUCUGUUUUCUCUGCGGUGGCUGUUUGGACAAUUAUGGGGACACUGCAUGUCCAAAACAACGCUGACUGCUUGUCUUGGGCAGCCAGGUCACCUCUAUAACGUUCUUGGUGGGCACUCAGACCUUCACAGAAGGUUCUCAGGCACUUUUUUUGGGCGAGUAAAUCCUGUUUUCACCUUCUUGGUGGUCAGUUGAACCAUUAUGUGAAUAUGUUGCAAUGCUGUGUGAUUCUUUUGGGCAAGAGAGCCCUGUUUUACACUUCUCGGUGGACCACCGUGGCAGUAAUUGUGAACCCCAAACAACAGUGGGCUCCUGUUUUGGGUCAACAAAUCCUCCUUUAGCCUUCCUGGUGGCUUCUCAGACCCACAUCAUGUGCCUGAAGCAUCACUGGGUGCCUGUUUUGCUCCCUGCACUGCCUGGUACUCACCUGGCACAGGCACCCCGUAGACAUUAACUUCCUGGAUGAAGUCCACCGUGGCCAGAGUGGCCUCCACCUCCGUGGUGGCCACGUUCUCACCUUUCCAUCUAUGGAAGCAAAGGGAUGAAGCUGUGAGGAGGAAUUUGGGCUGGGAGAUGGCAUUGCCCACGUGGAUGUGGGAAUGACCGUGCCAGAAGGAAUUACCGGAAAGUGUCCCCUACACGGUCCUGGAAAUAGAUGAAGUUUUCGUGGUCCGUCAUGAGGAGGUCACCACUGUUGAAGUAGGCGUCACCUCUCACAAAGACAUCUCUCAAGAUCUUCUUCUCUGUCUUCUGAGAAUCGCCCGCGUAGCCGUGGAAAGGGGUGUUGCGGGUGAUUUUGACGACCAGCAGCCCCGUCUCACCUUCAGGGAGGGAAAGGAGGAUUUGGGGCCAGGCAGCACCUGCCUUGGUGCUGGAGAAUGUCACCUCUGUGCCUCACAGGGAAUGCUGCGCUUUGGUGGUUUUCUGGUGGCUCCCAACCACUGAGAGGUGGUGGUGAGGACCAGGAGGUGGCUUUGAUGCAUCUCAGCCCUUUGCUGUCUCCCCUGCUGUAAAGGCCAUCACCAAGGCUCUUCUUACCAGGGCGGACGCGGAUGCAGAAUCCAUCUUCAUUGCGUACGGGUUCAUCCUGCUCCACGUUGUACUUGAUCAGGUCAAAAGAAGCAAAAGCCUGGAGGGCAGAGGAGGGACAGAGAGAAAUCAGUAGGUGGAAGAGAAAUGCAGGAUAAAAAUGACCGAGAAUGUCUGUGCUUCCAGUGCCAGCCCAGGUCCUCUGUCAUUUGCUCAUUAAAACUCACAGACCCCCACCACCCAGUCCCCAAAUCUUACGUAGUUUUGUUUUUAAAUCUGAAAUAAUUGUCUUUUAAAUAAGAUUUAAUCAAAUAUAUUCAGCUUCACCAA